GAUGAACGCUGGCGGCGUGCCUAAUACAUGCAAGUCGAGCGAACAGACGAGGAGCUUGCUCCUUUGACGUUAGCGGCGGACGGGUGAGUAACACGUGGGUAACCUACCUAUAAGACUGGGAUAACUUCGGGAAACCGGAGCUAAUACCGGAUAAUAUUUCGAACCGCAUGGUUCGAUAGUGAAAGAUGGCUUUGCUAUCACUUAUAGAUGGACCUGCGCCGUAUUAGCUAGUUGGUAAGGUAACGGCUUACCAAGGCAACGAUACGUAGCCGACCUGAGAGGGUGAUCGGCCACACUGGAACUGAGACACGGUCCAGACUCCUACGGGAGGCAGCAGUAGGGAAUCUUCCGCAAUGGGCGAAAGCCUGACGGAGCAACGCCGCGUGAGUGAUGAAGGUCUUCGGAUCGUAAAACUCUGUUAUUAGGGAAGAACAAACGUGUAAGUAACUGUGCACGUCUUGACGGUACCUAAUCAGAAAGCCACGGCUAACUACGUGCCAGCAGCCGCGGUAAUACGUAGGUGGCAAGCGUUAUCCGGAAUUAUUGGGCGUAAAGCGCGCGUAGGCGGUUUUUUAAGUCUGAUGUGAAAGCCCCACGGCUCACCGUGGAGGGUCAUUGGAAACUGGAAAACUUGAGUGCAGAAGAGGAAAGUGGAAUUCCAUGUGUAGCGGUGAAAUGCGCAGAGAUAUGGAGGAACACCAGUGGCGAAGGCGACUUUCUGGUCUGUAACUGACGCUGAUGUGCGAAAGCGUGGGGAUCAAACAGGAUUAGAUACCCUGGUAGUCCACGCCGUAAACGAUGAGUGCUAAGUGUUAGGGGGUUUCCGCCCCUUAGUGCUGCAGCUAACGCAUUAAGCACUCCGCCUGGGGAGUACGACCGCAAGGUUGAAACUCAAAGGAAUUGACGGGGACCCGCACAAGCGGUGGAGCAUGUGGUUUAAUUCGAAGCAACGCGAAGAACCUUACCAAAUCUUGACAUCCUUUGACCCUUCUAGAGAUAGAAGUUUCCCCUUCGGGGGACAAAGUGACAGGUGGUGCAUGGUUGUCGUCAGCUCGUGUCGUGAGAUGUUGGGUUAAGUCCCGCAACGAGCGCAACCCUUAAGCUUAGUUGCCAUCAUUAAGUUGGGCACUCUAAGUUGACUGCCGGUGACAAACCGGAGGAAGGUGGGGAUGACGUCAAAUCAUCAUGCCCCUUAUGAUUUGGGCUACACACGUGCUACAAUGGACAAUACAAAGGGCAGCGAAACCGCGAGGUCAAGCAAAUCCCAUAAAGUUGUUCUCAGUUCGGAUUGUAGUCUGCAACUCGACUACAUGAAGCUGGAAUCGCUAGUAAUCGUAGAUCAGCAUGCUACGGUGAAUACGUUCCCGGGUCU
rnacentral:rRNA from 1 species